rnacentral:lncRNA from 1 species
CUGACUUAUAAAAGCCAUAGUCGAGGUUCUUGGCCCUGGAUUGUUAUAUUCCUUAGACACUGUAAUCAGAAUUUUGAGUUUGUGGAUACGUUAUUUUUCUAGUUGUACACGGCGUCUUUAACAAAUCCUCAAAAAAUUUCCUGACCCCAAAAGAAGAAUGAAAAUUCUAGAAAUAGGUACUGAACCAGGAAAAGCAGCAAGGAAAGCUCUGAGAUUUUUGAAAUUUCUACUGAUACAAUAUGGUUUGGAUUUGUGUCCUUGCCCAAAUCUCAUGGUGAAUUGUAAUUCCCAGUGCUGGAGAAGAGGCCUAGUAGGACGUGAUUGGAUUGUGGGUGUGGAUGUCCCCCUUGCUGUUCUCAUGAUGGUUCUGCGCCAGGCACUUGCAGUAUUAUGUCGUCUAAUCUCCCAGCGUCCAAAAAGCAAAGUGUUUUACCUGCCCCUCGCCCCUGACCUUUUUACUUACAGGUAAGAAGCCUGGUCUUCUGAGAGUGUAAUUUCCCCAAGGGUGUGGUAGCAGGCAGGAUCUGUGCCCACCACUCCUUCCCCAUCUGCAACGAACAUGGAAUCUCUGCUUUUUAUCAGUUCUGUGCAUCCAUGCAUCCAGCCCUCAGCUUCUGUUAACUGCUUGCUGAUGGCUCACACCAGCCAGUUUCAGAUAUUACUUUUGGGCAAUGAGUUGGCUGCUCAACUAGUAAAGAGGACCAGGGGGCCUGGGAGUUCAAAUCACCCUGAGCACCAUCACCGCCAGUGCUAGUACACCCAGUACUACGCUCUGAGGCUGGAUAAGGCUCUAGAGCCCCCCGUAGAGACUGGUGGAGCCUGGGACUCCAUCUGCAGUCUCAUCCUUGCUAAGCUUUCCCUUCUCUGUCUUGCCUUCCUGACUCCUGAGAGAAUUAACUAAUAAAUAUCUUGCACUGGAAAACCUGCCUCAGAAACUGCUGGUGAGAGGAUGCACACUUGCAUGCUCAGGCCAGCUGGACAACCUAAAGGUCACCAAGCUCAGCUCUGAUCUGCGUUUCCUGGCCUUAGUUACAGCAUAAGAACCAAUGGCCACAGAUGGGAGGGAUAACAGCAUCUAUGAAGAAUCAGUAUCUAGAAAUUAUUUAUAUUUAGCUUCAUUUUUGCUAAGUAAUUCUAUGAACUCUUACCAGUGAGAAUCUUGUAAAGUAAAAACAUUUGAAGAUUAAGUUAAACAGAGCAGAAAUUAUAUUAUACAUUAUUCUUCAAUAUGAUCUCUAAUGACUUAGUUUUCCAGUAUGUGGAUGGCAAAUAUGUGGAUUACACAAAGCAUUACUAAAGUGAGCUGCAUAAAUUCCAAAAGGCUUCUAAUACUAGCCCAACGGUGAGAACUCUUGAGUAAAUUUAAAUAUUAUGUUUGAGGGUGACUCCAAAGGGAACAGGAUAAGCAACGGUCCCAAUAACACAUGACACAUUGACAGGCCCCACUAGUGUGCUCUGGCUUAGUGUGUUGUGGAUGUUUGGAGCUGUAUGUGACCUUGUCCUGUCUGUGAAUCAUGGAUUGAGAGAUCGUCAGUGUACGCCUUUGCCACACAUGGUAACGACUUGUGUUCAGUUUGAAGCUCCAACAAGUCAGUGAUAGAUGAAGUGUGGAUAGCUGCAUACGUGAGCAGUGUGGUCACUAGUGGCAGUACCAGGAAGAGGUUGCAGGUAUACAGUGCAAUUCAAUUCCAGACCUGUGUUUUUAUUGACUGUGGUGUUUUGUGCUUAAUUUUUCUUUAAGAAAAAAUAGCUUAAGAAGAAAAUACUUAGAAAAUUCUGUAACACAUAGGGUUUGAUGAAAGCAAGCACGUUGAUAAUCAUAAUUUAUUAUGUAGCUUUUUUCUUCAACAAAUCACGGAUGUGAAUUUAUUUGCAUUAUACAUACUUUUUUCUCUAGAACACUUGCUAAGACAAAGAGGCUCAGAUUUUUGAAGAGGUAUUUUCCUUUCCUUUAGGAAAACCUCAACAUGAUUUUUUAGAGGUAUUACUGUUUUUGUCGGGAAAAGUUAGUUCUUUUACUAAGAG